rnacentral:rRNA from 1 species
UGGGCGUAAAGCGUGCGUAGGCGGUUCGUUAAGUCAGAUGUGAAAGCCCUGGGCUCAACCUGGGAACUGCAUUUGAAACUGGCGGACUAGAGUUUAGUAGAGGGGAGUGGAAUUUCAGGUGUAGCGGUGAAAUGCGUAGAUAUCUGAAGGAACACCAGUGGCGAAGGCGACUCCCUGGACUAGAACUGACGCUGAGGUACGAAAGCGUGGGUAGCAAACAGGAUUAGAUACCCUGGUAGUCCACGCCGUAAACGAUGUCGACUAGCCGUUGGUCCUAUUUACAGGAUUAGUGGCGCAGCUAACGCAUUAAGUCGACCGCCUGGGGAGUACGGCCGCAAGGUUAAAACUCAAAUGAAUUGACGGGGGCCCGCACAAGCGGUGGAGCAUGUGGUUUAAUUCGAUGCAACGCGAAGAACCUUACGUACCCUUGACAUCCAGAGAAUCUGUUAGAGAUAGUAGAGUGCCUUCGGGAGCUCUGAGACAGGUGCUGCAUGGCUGUCGUCAGCUCGUGUCGUGAGAUGUUGGGUUAAGUCCCGCAACGAGCGCAACCCACGUCCUUAGUUGCCAUCAUUCAGUUGGGCACUCUAGGGAGACUGCCGGUGAUAAGCCGCGAGGAAGGUGUGGAUGACGUCAAGUCCUCAUGGCCCUUACGGGAUGGGCUACACACGUGCUACAAUGGCGGUGACAGUGGGACGCGAAGGAGCGAUCUGGAGCAAAUCCCCAAAAGCCGUCUCAGUUCGGAUUGCACUCUGCAACUCGAGUGGAUGAAGGCGGAAUCGCUAGUAAUCGUGGAUCAGC